GCCCCGGUCGUCUAGCCAGGUCAAGGAUAUGGGCCUUUCGAGCCCAGGACCCGGGUUCAAAUCCCGGCCGGGGCA
rnacentral:tRNA from 1 species